rnacentral:rRNA from 1 species
AUGGGCGAAAGCCUGAUGCAGCAACGCCGCGUGAGCGAUGAAGGUCUUCGGAUCGUAAAGCUCUGUCCUCAAGGAAGAAUAUUGACGGUACUUGAGGAGGAAGCCCCGGCUAACUACGUGCCAGCAGCCGCGGUAAUACGUAGGGGGCUAGCGUUAUCCGGAAUUACUGGGCGUAAAGGGUGCGUAGGCGGUCUUGCAAGUCAGAGGUGAAAGGCUACGGCUCAACCGUAGUAAGCCUUUGAAACUGCAGGACUUGAGUGCAGGAGAGGAAAGUGGAAUUCCCAGUGUAGCGGUGAAAUGCGUAGAUAUUGGGAGGAACACCAGUUGCGAAGGCGGCUUUCUGGACUGUAACUGACGCUGAGGCACGAAAGCGUGGGGAGCGAACAGGAUUAGAUACCCUGGUAGUCCACGCCGUAAACGAUGAGUACUAGGUGUCGGGGGUUACCCCCCUCGGUGCCGCAGCUAACGCAUUAAGUACUCCGCCUGGGAAGUA